UUAAAAAACAUAUAUUUUAUUAAAAUAACAUUAACAUACUUAAAUAAUUAAAUCGUCGUUUUCAUGCCAUCUUUCUAAAGGACUACGACAAUAGCCUUGGUAAUGACCUGAUGUGUACCGGACAAAUCCUCCUAGUACAAAAUUAUUUUGAAGAACAGAAAUUUUUUCCGGAAUUUCAGAAAUUUUUAUUCCUUUUGGAUAAUUAAUUUUGUUCGCUAUUAAAAAUAAUUGCAUUUCAAUAAUUAAAUAUGGUGCAGUUUUGAUUAAAACUU